AUUGAACGCUGGCGGCAUGCCUUACACAUGCAAGUCGAACGGCAGCACGGGAGCAAUCCUGGUGGCGAGUGGCGAACGGGUGAGUAAUAUAUCGGAGCGUGCCCAGUCGUGGGGGAUAACGUAGCGAAAGCUACGCUAAUACCGCAUACGAUCUAUGGAUGAAAGCGGGGGAUCGCAAGACCUCGCGCGAUUGGAGCGGCCGAUAUCAGAUUAGGUAGUUGGUGAGGUAAAGGCUCACCAAGCCGACGAUCUGUAGCUGGUCUGAGAGGACGACCAGCCACACUGGGACUGAGACACGGCCCAGAAUCCUACGGGAGGCAGCAGUGGGGAAUUUUGGACAAUGGGCGCAAGCCUGAUCCAGCAAUGCCGCGUGCAGGAUGAAGGCCUUCGGGUUGUAAACUGCUUUUGUACGGAACGAAACGGCGAGCUCUAAUACAGUUUGCUAAUGACGGUACCGUAAGAAUAAGCACCGGCUAACUACGUGCCAGCAGCCGCCGUAA
rnacentral:rRNA from 1 species